AACACCUCAAAGCCUUUUUCUUUCUUGAAAAAAGUUUUGGACUUGAGCAAUCCCAACACUCUUUCUCCAAAGAGUGGCGGGUUGCUUGAAAUGCAGGUGCAGCUGGACAUUCUCCUGAGCUAAAAGCAUAUUCAUUUAGUCCCGUCAAACGGAUUAUUACUUUUGCUGCAGCUAAUAUAAAGGGAGUUUGACCAUUUUGGCUGACUGAUGCAGGAUUUCACAAGAGUAACUUUAAAACCUACUCUUGUUAA
rnacentral:misc_RNA from 2 species